GCAGCUUCCACCGGCACCUUCCUUCACUUGGCAGCCCUUUAGUGUCCACAUGUGGUGUGCUGGGCGCUGCGCCGGGAACAGACCUGGCCCUGUCCUCUUGGAGAUCCAUGUGUGGUGGGAAACAGAAAAUCAACAGAAACCCUGGCCGUGGUUGUAGGUGGGGAAUCCGGGACCCUGUGGCUUGGAGCAGUGGGCACCAGACGUGUAGGGUCUUGCUGGAGGCUGGGUUGUGAGGAGGAGUCUGACUACUGCCCUCUGCACCAAGGCUCUGGAAUUUGGCAGUGGCCACCAGCACUUGUCACACCUCGUCUACAGCUGCUUCGGGUCUCUGCUGGGGUCUGGACAUUCCCCUAAAUUCGUGUGUUGAAACUUCAUCACCAAUGAGAUGCUAUUAAGAGGUGAGGUGUUUAGGAGGCCCUGCCCUCAAAGGUGGGCUUAACCCUUGAGAAGGGCUGGGAAGCCUGGCUGCCCCUUCUGCCCUUAGGUCCCUCCUGCCCUGUGAGAUGCCCGUUCGCCCCCUCAGGAGGAUGAAGUGGCCUGGCACUGUCUUGCAUGCAGAGAGGAGCCCUCAUCAGACACCCAUCCUACUGGCGCCUUGAUCUUGCCCUCCAGCCUCCAGAACAGAGAGAAGCACAUUUCUGUUGCUUCUGAAGGGCCUAGUCUUCAGGAUUUUGUUACAGCAGCGGAAAGGACUAACACAAGCCUUGAAUAAACAUGACAAAGAUUGGCCUGGAAAACAGAAAGUGAUUCCUCCCCAGCCCUCUACAGAAAAAACGUGUCCAGCCCUGCCUCUUUGGGACACAGCUGUUGGGGUGAGCAGCUUCAGAUGUGGGGAGAAGGACGGCAGGAGCGAAGGCAGUGGAGGAAGGAAGGUAGCCAGCCCUGGCAGGGCGCUGGGGAGCCACUGAUGGUGGGAAGGCAAGAGAGGUGUCCUGUGACUUGGGGCUUCUCUCCCAUGUGCAGAGGAGCCCCUGGCCCCCACCUGUGCCCCUGGUUCUUGAGUCGCCAACCUGGGCUAUGUGGUCCCUUGGGUGAUCCCAGGCGGAGGGUUCUGGUUGGGCUGGGGUCCCCACCGGUGGCACCCUGACUUGUGCGCUGCCUUGCCCUACCCUUCGUGGGGCCCUGAAGCCUAUGAGAGGUGGGGGACCCAGUGCCCAGAGAAGAGAUGUUCAGGGUACCUCAGGGGGCGGGUGGCCCUCGUCCAUCCUGUGAGCAUCCCUGGUGUCCCACGAACACUGAAGACUUGGAGACCAGAUGGCCACAGAUGCAGGCAG